UGGGGAAUAUUGCACAAUGGGCGCAAGCCUGAUGCAGCCAUGCCGCGUGUAUGAAGAAGGCCUUCGGGUUGUAAAGUACUUUCAGUCGGGAGGAAGGUGGUAAGGUUAAUAACCUUAUCAAUUGACGUUACCGACAGAAGAAGCACCGGCUAACUCCGUGCCAGCAGCCGCGGUAAUACGGAGGGUGCAAGCGUUAAUCGGAAUUACUGGGCGUAAAGCGCACGCAGGCGGUUGAUUGAGUCAGAUGUGAAAUCCCCGGGCUUAACCCGGGAAUUGCAUCUGAUACUGGUCAGCUAGAGUCUUGUAGAGGGGGGUAGAAUUCCAUGUGUAGCGAUGAAAUGCGUAGAGAUCUGGAGGAAUACCGGUGGCGAAGGCGGCCCCCUGGACGAAGACUGACGCUCAGGUGCGAAAGCGUGGGGAGCAAACAGG
rnacentral:rRNA from 1 species